UACAGAGGAGCCAAGCGUUGUCCGGAUUGACUGGGCGUAAAGCGCACGCAGGCGGUCGCGCGCGUGGGGUGUGAAAUCUGGCCGCUUAACGGCCAGGCGCCAUCCCAUACGGCGCGACUGGAGUGAUGCAGAGGUCGGUGGAAUUGCCGGUGUAGUGGUGAAAUGCGCAGAUAUCAGGAGGAACACCGAUGGCGAAGGCAGGUCUCUGGGCCACUACUGACGCUGAGGUGCGAGAGCGUGGGGAGCGAACCGG
rnacentral:rRNA from 1 species